GAUGAACGCUGGCGGCGUGCUUAACACAUGCAAGUCGAACGAAGCACCUCUCCCGAAGAUUGACACAGCUUGCUGUAGAUUUAUUCAUUUGAGGUGACUGAGUGGCGGACGGGUGAGUAACGCGUGGGUAACCUGCCUCAUAGAGGGGGACAACAGUUGGAAACGACUGCUAAUACCGCAUAGUAAGAAGAAUUCGCAUGUUUUCUUCUUGAAAGAUUUAUCGCUAUGAGAUGGACCCGCGUCUGAUUAGCUAGUUGGUAAGGUAACGGCUUACCAAGGCGACGAUCAGUAGCCGGCUUGAGAGAGUGAACGGCCACAUUGGGACUGAGACACGGCCCAAACUCCUACGGGAGGCAGCAGUGGGGAAUAUUGCACAAUGGGGGAAACCCUGAUGCAGCGACGCCGCGUGAGUGAAGAAGUAUUUCGGUAUGUAAAGCUCCAUCAGCAGGGAAGAUAAUGACGGUACCUGACUAAGAAGCCCCGGCUAACUACGUG
rnacentral:rRNA from 1 species